rnacentral:rRNA from 1 species
AGGGCACCACCAGGAGUGGAGCCUGCGGCUUAAUUUGACUCAACACGGGAAAUCUCACCAGGCCCGGACACCGGAAGGAUUGACAGAUUGAGAGCUCUUUCUUGAUUCGGUGGGUGGUGGUGCAUGGCCGUUCUUAGUUGGUGGAGCGAUUUGUCUGGUUAAUUCCGAUAACGAACGAGACUCUGGCCUACUAAAUAGACGUUAGAUCCCUUUGUGGGUCUAUCGCAGCUUCUUAGAGGGACGGGCGGCGUUCAGCCGCACGAGAUUGAGCAAUAACAGGUCUGUGAUGCCCUUAGAUGUUCUGGGCUGCACGCGCGCUACACUGAAGGAAUCAGCGUGUGUUCCCUGCCCGAAAGGACUGGGAAACCCGUUGAACCUCCUUCGUGAUGGGGAUUGGGGAUUGCAAUUAUUCCCCAUGAACGAGGAAUUCCCAGUAGGCGCGAGUCCUAAGCUUGCGUCGAUUACGUCCCUGCCCUUUGUACACACCGCCCGUCGCUACUACCGAUCGAGUGAUUUAGU